AUGAACGCUGGCGGCGUGCCUAACACAUGCAAGUCGAACGGUGACAGCAAUGUCAUAGUGGCGCACGGGUGAGGAACACGUAGCUAACCUGCCCUCGAGUGUGGGAUAACUUCCCGAAAGGGAUGCUAAUACCGCAUAAGCUCACGGUGAGCAAGUAGCUGUGAGAAAAGAUUUAUCGCUUGGGGAGGGGGCUGCGGCCCAUCAGGUAGUUGGUAAGGUAACGGCUCACCAAGCCGACGACGGGUAGGGGGUCUGAGAGGAUGGCCCCCCACACUGGGACUGAGACACGGCCCAGACUCCUACGGGAGGCAGCAGUGAGGGAUAUUGCGCAAUGGGGGAAACCCUGACGCAGCGACGCCGCGUGGGUGAUGAAGGCCUUCGGGUCGUAAAACCCUUUUGCCACUGACGAGACAAGGACGGUAGGUGGCGAAUAAGCCUCGGCUAACUACGUGCCAGCAGCCGCGGUAAAACGUAGGAGGCGAGCGUUAUCCGGAGUUACUGGGCGUAAAGCGCGCGCAGGCGGUACGUUAAGUCGGGCGUGAAAGCCCCAUGCUAAACGUGGGGAGGACGAACGAUACUGGCGAACUGGAGUGGAGCAGAGGGACAUGGAAUUCCGGGUGCAGCGGUGAAAUGUGCAGAUAUCCGGAGGAACACCAGAGGUGAAAACGGUGUCCUGGGCUCACACUGACGCUGAGGUGCGAAAGCGUGGGGAGCGAACGGGAUUAGAGACCCCGGUAGUCCACGCUGUAAACGAU
rnacentral:rRNA from 1 species